CAGGGCUGAUCGCCAACAUCACCGAGAACUCGGACCUCUUCAUGUGCUACAGCUUCUGCCAACAGGUGGUGCGGGAGGUGGUUGGAUUGGAGAAGCAGGCCAGGCUGAGGUGAGUUGGAAAUCACCUGCUGAGAGCACUGUGAAGAUAAAACACACCAAAGAUGUGGUUUCUGCUGCUGUUUUCCUGACCGAGAAGGCCUGCCAUGGCGCACACCGUCAGGAAGAGGGGUCUAGACAGAAAGGAUCCUGCAUUACUACUGUUCCAGGGCUCUGAUCAGCCUGAAAUAGAAGUUCUUGCCUACUUACUUUCUAAGAACUAAAUCCUCGGUGCUUCUUGCCCUGUAGAGUUUCUAAGAAUUUCCUUUGUCUUGCCUUCAAGUAACAUCUACUCCCUUACUCCUUCACUGCACUAACACAAAGCGAAAAGACCGUAAGCACUUGAACAGAUUCCUUCUAUACCCACCCGUUCGAAAGAAAGGUAGAGGAGGGUAGGCACAGAAGGAGGUAGAGGAGUGGGCGAAUAUGAGGGCAUUUGAUUCUUGCUGAGCUGUACAGCUCCUUAUUGUAAUUUCUCUUACUCACUGUUGAACAAAAGUGGGUAUUGGCUCUUUUACAUCUUGGAUAAUAUCCAAAAUGUAUGAAUGCAGGUUUUUUUUUUUUUUCAAUGAACCAAAAAGUGAAUUUGUUUAUUGAGGGCAAGAGGAUGCAAGCAAUAUAAAAAUCAGAACUUGUCUGGCUUUCCCUGACUUUUCUUUCUCCGCCUGUCAAAUGUGCGUUGGAUUUUAUUUGUACAUGUUCUGAGUGUCCCGGUCUGCUCCUGGAAUCCUUUAUACAGGGCACAGUCUGGUCCGUGGUGAAGAGCAUCCUCAGGAAGGACGGCCCCUUGGGCUUCUACCACGGCCUCUCCAGCACCUUACCCGAGAGGUGCCCAGCUAUUUCCUCUUCUUUGGCGGCUACGAGCUGAGCAGGUCGUUUUUUGCAUCAGGAAGAUCGAAGGAUGAGCUAGGCCCUGUCCCUUUGAUGUUAAGCGGUGGAGUUGUUGGGAUCUGCCUCUGGCUUGCUGUAUACCCAGUGGAUUGCGUCAAAUCCAGAAUUCAUGUACUUUCCAUCUGGAAAACAGGCAGGAUUUAUCAGAAUCUUUAUAAGCAUUAUGAAAAAUGAAGAGACCCUUCCCGGGAGCAGAGUGCCAAAGCCAAGAGAAGCCCUUGUUCCCUGUCUGGUGCCUGAAGGACAGUGAUCAUGGGCAAGGUCCUCUUUCGGAUGGAACUGGACAGAACCGAGGGCUUGUCCUCCACAGUGAGUGAUGUUGGGGUGACCCCUUUGUUUACAUUUAUCUCAGGAUCGCUAACUGCCAUGUUUCUUAUUGGGUUGGAGCCUUUUACAUUUGGUACUGGCAGUCCGUGGAUUUUCAGGAUUGUAUAUAGGGGGUGACUUUACAAAGCAAUGAAACAAGCCAAGUAAUUUUAUUUAGCUAUGCCAUACGAAUGCACUAACCACCACCACAAACUCCAGGUCACCUGGUGGAAGAGGGUCCCUUCUUGUCCCCACUUAGGCAAGCCUCAUCAUACCGUGCUGCUCCAAGACCAGCAAGGGCUCUCUCCGAAACCAGUGUUCUUAAGCAGGCUGACGCUGCUAACAUCUGUCCCGUGUGUGUCUGUCCUUGUUGGCACAGUGUCCCCCUCGAGUGAAACCUCUGGUUUCCUGAAGCUUUUUGUUCUCUGCAGAGGCUCUGUGCUAACUCUAGCCCACGCGCCAGAAGCCAGAGGGUCGGGGCAGUGAGCAGCUGCUCUUUCUGUAUACUGCAGCUGUGCAAGUUGGCCCAGCAGCAGCAUUCUUCUUCUGCCUGGUUGUGUGGAUGGGGUUGAUGUAGCAGGAAACUGUUCUAUUUUUUAAAAAUAGCUAUAUUUCCUAUUAUGUUUUGGAUAAUUCUAUUCCAGGGUAGUCUGAUCUAUUUGAAAAAAAAAAACAAAAAAACAGUAUCAUUCUGAUGUACCAUGAUGUAAGAUUCUCGAGUUGUUCAAGGAAGUAUUUAUGUCAGGUUGUAAGGAGGCAAGCCUGUAAAUUGUCCUUAUGUGAGCAGAAGCACAAGAGUGUAGCAACUCAGUGGCCAGGAAAUUGGAUGCAUCUUGGAGGGUUAGGGAAGAGGAAGCCUAACUGUAAUCUUCUUUCAAAAAGCAAGUCUUGAAAAUUGGGGUUUUCUCCUUAGUGCCAGCUAAGUAUCUACCCCCCACCCCUGCCCCCUCUGCAUAAGUCUGCCACCUGGUCUGCCCCUCUGGCUUAUGGCUGCAUGCAUGUUCAAGGGAACAGUACAAACUAUGUUUCUGUAACACGAAUUAUAGCAAGUAAUGUAGUCAGAUCUUUUCCUAAAGAGCCUUUAGAUGGGCUUUUGCAACUGUAGCUGAGACCCUUUGAGGACUAUUUGGAGGGAAAAAGAGCACCUGCAUCCAGGCAUGUUCAUAAAUAAGGACAUUUUAUUUAUAUAAUAUAUAAAUAUAUAAGCAUAUACAUAAUGACGUUAAGGUACUUAGAAUAAAACAACAUCCAGCAACGAAGAGAAUAGGAUUCCCUGUGGACACUGGACUAACCAGUGUUUAUAGUGAAAAGAUGAUCUUCACAGAGUUCCCUACAUUUACAUGAAGUUGGCUGGAAGCAGAGUCUGUGUCAGGGGCUGUACUUUAAAAUCAUCUAGAUUUCUCUAGGCAGACAUUUCCUUUGACUUCACGGUGAUGUUACAAAGAGAAAGAAUCUACUGUAACGUCUGCUUAUGUUUACCCAGAUUCUCUUGUCCUCCAAGGACUGACUGCCUGUGUAAUUGAAGCUUGUAUCACAAGCUCUGCCAGGACUGUUUAUAGGAACGGUCCUAUGGGCUCAAGCCUCGUACUGCUGCCAGUCGGAGGUUUUUUAAAUAGCUUAGAAAUGACCUCUUUAAUCUGACAUUACACAUGUGAAAGCAGGGACUACUUACCCAAUAAUACAUAAUAAACCUCACGCAAUAUUGUGAGGAAUCAUUUUAAAUGUUAUUUUGAUAUGAAAGUUCUUUUAAACUCUUAACUUUGGCACACAGUCCCCAGGAACAGUAGUUCUCUCAACUCUGGCAUACCUCCUUCAGGAAAGAAAAGGACCACUAACCUUUUAUAACGUAUAAACUUAAGGUGUCAAAAAUGUGUAUGUAAAUGUACUGUAAGUAUACAUGCAAGGAAGGAGGGUUAGGAGACCUAAAUGUGUGGCAGGGGUGGUGGGGAACACUUAUUCAAAAUGCAGCUCUACUGCAAAGUUCUCACGGUAGAUAUGCCAGGUUUUUUUUUUAUGUGGAUUAUCCAGUUGGUUCCGUGGAAGGUAAAGCCUAGGAAAGAAGAAACAUGUUUCAAGCACAGAAGGCCAACCAGGGUUAGUCUUAGUCCCUCUCCUGUGCCUCAGUUGGCACAUACAAGUGGAAGGGCUUGGUAACAUCUGGGAUGGCCAAUGUUGGGGCAGUCAGUAAGGCUGUUUGUAAUUCCCAAAAUGCUCCUUCUGCCUCAGCUGUCCACUCUACCAUAGUGAGUCCUCCCUUAGCCAGUUCACAGAGAGGUCGCACCAUCUCCGCGCACCGCAGUAUCCACAGCUUGCAGCAGCCCAGCGUCCCAAGGAACUCCCUCAUGGAGACCGAAGCCUAAGUAAGUGGCGUGGCUCCGACAGAGCUGUGUUUGUAUUGCUGACCCCCGAUACCCUUUUCCCUGCAGAGUCUGCAAGAGAGCUCUUGUCCCCCACAAGCAAGACCCAUAGUCCUCAGCGGCUAUUUCUACUAUUCCCACUAACUCAGUCCUCCUUCAAGUACUAGAGAACUAGAAAUCGAGAGAACUUCCAGACUCAGGAACAAAUUUUUAGAUAGGGAAGAAGUUUCUCUGGAAUAAUAAUCUUCAGUUAAUUAAAAAAAAAAAAAAAAGAUUUCCCAGUUUAGUUACUAGAAAGUUAUUUUGAAAUGGGAGAGUAUUGAUUUUUUUUAAAAGAUUUUAUUUAUUUAUUUGACCACAAGUAGGCAGAGAGGCAGGCAGAGAGAGAGGGAGAAGCAGGCUCCCUGCCGAGCAGAGAGCAGAGAGCCAGAUGUGGGGCUGGAUCCCCAGACCCUGGGAUCAUGACCUGAGCUGAAGUCAGAGGCUUAACCCACUGAGCCUCCCAGGUACCCCUUAAAUAGUAUUUUUAAUCUAAUAUUUAGCUUAUGAAAAAUGAGAAUGUUUGCCAUUGUCAUUGCUCUGAACAUGAGUGUGUAACUUCUCCUGAGAUGUCACAAAGUGUACAAGUGUUACUCUUUACAUGAAUUUCUAAGCCUCAGUGGCUUUGUUUUCCUAUUGAAAUCAUCAAGCAGAACUGCCAACAACUAACAGUGUUGAUCAAGUUAAAGUUUGUGCCCUCCUCCACCCCCUGCUUGCUCCCCGUUAUGGGAAAAUCUGUUCAAUAGUGAAAUGGUAUGUGUGUGGAAGCAAGUGACCUCGGUGGUUCCCAUACCAGCCGGGCUCCCCUUUGAUCCCUGAAGCCGGUCUGAACACUCGCUCAGUCAGUGGUCCGAAGCAGGAGCUCCACUACAAGCAGUACUGGCCUGGGCAGUGUUGCUUAAUUUUGUGAUUUUCAAGGGCCAUGAGAUGAAAACUCUAUCAUGUGUGGGUAUUCUUGUCAUUAAUACUGACAGUCAACUAUCAGUGUAACUGCUGCUUGUAGAAAUGGAUGAGGUCUUUGGACAUAAAGUGGCAUCAGUCUCUGGUCAGCACGAUGUAAACUAGGUUGGAGGACUAUUGUCUAAUUUAUAUAGAAAAAAACACAUUUCCUUAAAUUUUGAUAGGAAUGGCAAGAAAAAGCCAAUUCUUAAAGGCUCCUUUGUGUCGUGAGCCGAGGGUUAUAGAGGUUAAGUGCUGUGUGUCUAAGGGCUCUAAUUGUUCAACAUAUAUAGAAAGGAGGGAAAAGGAGGAAUUUUAAUCUCUUUGGAAUUAGUUUUUAGUAUCAUUUUUACUAUGAAAGUUAACUUUUUUUUUUUUUUUUUUAAUUUUCGGAUCUUCCUAAAUAUGACAAGUGUCCAUUUUUCUUUUGGUUCCAUACAUCUUUUGUACAAAAUAACAGGGGUACAGAUCUGUGAAUCGCCAGGUUUAUACACUUAACAGCACUCACCAAAGCACAUACCCUCCCCAAUGUCCAUAACCUCACCCCCCUGUCCCAAAGAAAUAGAAAAAUGUUCCAUGCUCAUGGAUUAGAGGAACAAAUAUUGUGAAAAUGUCUAUGCUACCUAAAGAAAUCUACACAUUUAAUGCAAUCCCUACCAAAAUCCCAUCCAUGUUUUUCAAUGAAAUAGAACAAAUAAUCUUAAAAUUUAUAUGGAACCAGAAAAUACCUCAAAUAGCCAAAGGAAUACUGAAAAAGAAAGCCAAAGUUGGUGGCAUCACAAUUCCGGACUUCAAGCUCUUACAAAGCUGACAUCAUCAAGACAGUACAGUACUGGCACAAAAACAGAUACAUAGGUCAAUGGAACAGAACAGAGAGCCCAGAAAUAGACCCUCAACUCUAUGGUCAACUAAUCUUCGACAAAGCAGGAAAGAAUGUCCAAUGGAUAAAAGACAGCCUCUUCAACAAAUGGUGCUGGGAAAAUUGGACAGCCACAUGCAGAAAAAUGAAAUUGGACCUCUUCCUUACACCAUACACGAAAAUAGACUCCAAAUGGAUGAAGGACCUCCAUGUGAGAAAGGAAUUCAUCCAAAUCCUUGAGGAGAACACAGGCAGCAACCUCUUUGACCUCAGCCAGAGCAACUUCUUCCUAGGAACAUCACCAAAGGCAAGGGAAGCAAGGGAAUAAAUGAACUUUUGGGACUUCAUCAAGAUCAAAAACUUUUGCAAAGCAAAGGAAACAGUUAACAAAAUCAAAAGACAUCUGACAGAAUGGGAGAAGAUAUUUGCAAACAACAAAUCAGAUAAAGGGCUAGUAUAAAAAUCUAUAGAGCUUAGCAAACUCAACAGCCAAAGAACAAAUACUCCAAUCAAGAAAUGGGAUUGGGAGGGAGACAAACCAUAAGUGACUCUUAAUCUCACAAAACAAACUGAGGGUUGCUGGGGGGAGGGGAGUUGGGGGAAGGGGGGUGGGGUUAUGGACAUUGGGGAGGUUAUGUGCUAUGGUGAGUGCUGUGUAGUGUAUAAACCUGGCGAUUCACAGACCUGUACCCCUGGGGAUAAAAUAUAUGUUUAUGAAAAAUAAAAAAAUAGGGACGCCUGGGUGGCUCAGUUGGUUGGACGACUGCCUUUGGCUCAGGUCAUGAUCUCGGAGUCCUGGGAUUGAGUCCCGCAUCGGGCUCCCAGCUCCAUGGGGAGUCUGCUUCUCCCUCUGACCUUCUCCUCACUCAUGCUCUCUCUCUCACUGUCUCUCUCUCAAAUAAAUAAAAUCUUUAAAAAAAAAAAAAAAAGAAAAAAAGAAAAAAAGAAAAAGAAAUGGGCAGAG